UGGGGAAUAUUGCACAAUGGGCGAAAGCCUGAUGCAGCGACGCCGCGUGAGGGAUGACGGCCUUCGGGUUGUAAACCUCUUUCAGCGGGGAAGAAGCGAAAGUGACGGUACCUGCAGAAGAAGCGCCGGCUAACUACGUGCCAGCAGCCGCGGUAAUACGUAGGGCGCAAGCGUUGUCCGGAAUUAUUGGGCGUAAAGAGCUCGCAGGCGGUUAGUCGCGUCUGCUGUGAAAACUCGAGGCUCAACCUCGGGCUUGCAGUGGGUACGGGCUGACUAGAGUGCGGUAGGGGUGACUGGAAUUCCUGGUGUAGCGGUGGAAUGCGCAGAUAUCAGGAGGAACACCGAUGGCGAAGGCAGGUCACUGGGCCGCAACUGACGCUGAGGAGCGAAAGCAUGGGGAGCGAACAGGAUUAGAUAGCCCUGGUAGUCCAUGCCGUAAACGUU
rnacentral:rRNA from 1 species